rnacentral:rRNA from 1 species
CCUACGGGCGUCAGCCGUGAGGAAUAUUGGUCAAUGGGCGAGAGCCUGAACCAGCCAAGUCGCGUGAAGGAUGACGGCCCUACGGGUUGUAAACUUCUUUUGUCAGGGAGCAAUUGAGUCCACGUGUGGUCUUAGCGAGAGUACCUGAAGACAAAGCAUCGGCUAACUCCGUGCCAGCAGCCGCGGUAAUACGUAGGGGGCAAGCGUUAUCCGGAUUUACGGGGUGUAAAGGGAGUGUAGACGGCAAGGCAAGCCAGAAGUGAAAGGGCAGGGCUCAACCCUGUACAUGGUUUUGGAAUUGUGGUGCUAGAGUGCAGGAGAGGUAAGUGGAAUUCCUAGUGUAGCGGUGAAAUGCGUAGAUAUUAGGAGGAACACCAGUGGCGAAGGCGGCUUACUGGACUGUAACUGACGUUGAGGCUCGAAAGCGUGGGGAGCAAACAGGAUUAGAUACCCCUGUAGUC